CUUAUUCAAGACCUGAGUGCCUUCACAUCGGGGGGCAAAUUAAGUGUGCAUGCAUGAGAGGGUAGACUGAGAUUUUGAAAGUGUCACUAAAUAGUUUGCCACGUACUUAACAGACGGAGCAGCUGUCGGCUGUCAGCCCUGCCGAGUCCUCGGUGAAUGUGUCCAUCUCUCCUUUUUCCACUGGCCACAGGUUGCGAGGGGCAUUAGGUGCAAAGAAAGUCCAAGUUCCUGACAAACUCCCAGGUCACUUUAGGCAUUCGUAAUCAGAUUGGAUCGAUUUAAAGUCAGCAGCUUAUCUAGCAUGCAUAUGUUUGGGAUGGCAGGAAAUCACAGCACCUGCAGAAAACCCAUGAGACUCAGGAAAAAACACAAAGACUCUCCAUGGAACUGUAAGGCAUCAGCUCCAACCUUUGGAUCUCCAUUCCACUGCUGCCUAGAGGUAAGAAAGAAAAUAAUAGUCCAGACAUCAGCAUUUCUUUCUAAGAGAAACAAAAUCACAGUGGCAGCAGACAGAAUCUCAUGCUGCCUAUAGACAUUAUUCCUGUUCUCCAUAACAAU